AGCAGCCGCGGUAAUUCCAGCUCCAAUAGCGUAUAUUAAAGUUGUUGCAGUUAAAAGCUCGUAGUUGAAUUUCGGGAUCAAUAUGUUGGUCGUGCCUCGGUACGUACUAGCUUAUUGGUUUCUCCUUUCUGAAGAACCAUGAUGUCAUUUAUUUGGUGUCGUGGGGAAUCAGGACUGUUACUUUGAAAAAUUAGAGUGUUUAAAGCAGGCUCACGCUUGAAUACAUUAGCAUGGAAUAAUGAAAUAGGACGUUUGAUUCUAUUUUGUUGGUUUCUAGGAUCGACGUAAUGAUUAAUAGGGAUAGUUGGGGGCAUUAGUAUUCAAUUGUCAGAGGUGAAAUUCUUGGAUUUAUUGAAGACUAACUACUGCGAAAGCAUUUUGCCAAGGAUGUUUUCAUUAAUCAAGAACGAAAGUUAGGGAUCGAAGACGAUCAGAUACCGUCGUAGUCUUAACCAUAAACUAUGCCGACUAGGGAUCGGAUGAUGUUAAUUUUUAAUGUACUCAUUCGCGUACCG
rnacentral:misc_RNA from 1 species